GUGGCGAACGGGUGCGUAAUACGUGAGAAUCUGCCCUUAGGAGAAGAAUAACUGCUGGAAACGGCUGCUAAAUCUUCAUAUGCCGAGAGGUGAAAUAGUUUAAACUGCCUAAGGAUGAGCUCGCGCCUGAUUAGCUAGUUGGUAAGGUAACGGCUUACCAAGGCCACGAUCAGUAGCUGGUUUGAGAGAACGAUCAGCCACACUGGGACUGAGACACGGCCCAGACUCCUCCGGGAGGCAGCAGUGAGGAAUUUUCCGCAAUGGGCGAAAGCCUGACGGAGCAAUACCGCGUGAGGGAUGAAGGAUUUUGGUCUGUAAACCUCUUUUCUCAAGAAAGAAGUUCUGACGGUACUUGAGGAAUAAGCAUCGGCUAACUCCGUGCCAGCAGCCGCGGUAAUACGGGGGAUGCAAGCGUUAUCCGGAAUCAUUGGGCGUAAAGCGCCUGUAGGUUGUUUAAUAAGUCUGUUGUUAAAGACUAGGGCUCAACCCUAGAAAAGCAAUGGAAACUACUAGACUAGAGUAUGGCA
rnacentral:rRNA from 1 species